CGGGGAGUAAGCCAAUGAUAGACGGCAGCAUUUGGGAUGCUGAGGUUGCAGGUUUGAAUCCUGUCUCUCCGA
rnacentral:tRNA from 1 species